AAUCACAAGGCAACACCCAGGUUGAAGAUCUUGGCAAGAUCUUGCAGGAUUUUUGGUAAGAUCUUGCAGGAUCAUGGCAAGAUCCUGCAAGAUCUUAGGUAAGAUCCUGUAAGAACUUGGAAAGAUCUUGCAGGAUCCUGCAAGAUCCUUCCAUAAUCUUGCAGGAUUUAUGUAAGAUCUUGGCAGGAUCUUGGUAAGAUCUUGGGUAAGAUCUUGCUGGGAUCUUGGCAAGAUUGUCAACCUGGGCAUGUGUUGACAUU
rnacentral:miRNA from 1 species